AAUCUUCCGCAAUGGACGCAAGUCUGACGGAGCAACGCCGCGUGUGCGAUGAAGGCCUUCGGGUCGUAAAGCUCUGUUGUCAGGGAAGAACAAGUACCGGAGUAACUGCCGGUACUUUGACGGUACCUGACCAGAAAGCCACGGCUAACUAUGUGCCAGCAGCCGCGGUAAUACGUAGGUGGCAAGCGUUGUCCGGAAUUAUUGGGCGUAAAGCGCGCGCAGGCGGUCCCUUAAGUCUGAUGUGAAAGCCCCCGGCUUAACCGGGGAGGGUCAUUGGAAACUGGGGGACUUGAGAGCAGAAGAGAAGAGCGGAAUUCCACGUGUAGCGGUGAAAUGCGUAGAGAUGUGGAGGAACACCAGUGGCGAAGGCGGCUCUUUGGUCUGUAACUGACGCUGAGGCGCGAAAGCGUGGGGAGCAAAC
rnacentral:rRNA from 1 species